rnacentral:lncRNA from 1 species
GUUCUUCUUGCUCUGUGGUGUCCACAUUAUGAAUACGUACGAGUCAUCUACACGCACACGCACACGCUCAUGUUGAUAAACGAUUUGCAAAUAAACAAAGAAGAUUUGAUUAAAUGGGACUGGCCGACUGGAGAUCGAUCUUUGUCUAUGACUGAUAUUUGAUAUCAUGUAGUAGUUGAAAUGUAAGAGUCGCGUAUGUGUCCCAACUACAUUCAUCGGGAUUGAGCAUUUCAGGCUUCCAGCUGCCUUAUAUUUAACACCUUUAAAAUGAGCCUCUCUCUCUUAAUUAAAUAAUUAACCUCCGCAAAUGAUUAAUGAACACUCAACUGUUCAUGACGAAUUUUGUUAUUGAUUCAUUGUUACCUAUGUAUCUGAUUUGAUCUCCAUAUAGGGCUCCUUCAAACAGUAUCUAAUUGUUGGUCCUCUUUCCCUAAUGGUCGAUUUCACUUCGAUUUCCACCAUCAGUUUGAAAAUUGAGUCUCUCGAGUAUCUUCUGGGAAGAGACAGAAGAAAGAUACAGAAGAGCCAGCAUGUGACUCGAUGAGCACUGAAUCUUUCACGAUAAUGGUUAGAUUGAUCUGACAGUUUAGAAAAAGAAAAAUUUGGAGUCGGUUAUUUCCUGCUUAAGUUUUUCGUAUAAAUAGAUAUUUUGUCCAUCUUUAUAAUAGUCAUUAAUUUAGUUAUUCAAUUAUUAGUAUGUUAAAUAAUCAAAAUAAUUUAUGUGAACUAUGUUUAUAUAAAUCGAUGUGUCACAGUGCGG